rnacentral:rRNA from 1 species
CGAGAAUAAUUCACAAUGGGGGAAACCCUGAUGGUGCAACGCCGCGUGGAGGAUGAAGGUCUUCGGAUUGUAAACUCCUGUCAUCUGGGAGUAAGACCUGGGCGUGAAUAGCGCACAGGGUUGAUAGUACCAGAAGAGGAAGGGACGGCUAACUUCGUGCCAGCAGCCGCGGUAAUACGGAGGGUGCAAGCGUUAUCCGGAUUCACUGGGCGUAAAGGGCGCGCAGGCGGUUACGUAAGUCCGGCGUGAAAUCCCACGGCUUAACUGUGGAACUGCGUCGGAUACUGCGUUGACUUGAGGAUGGUAGAGGCCAUUAGAACUAGCGGUGUAGCGGUGAAAUGCGCAGAUAUCGCUAGGAAUGCCGGUGGCGAAGGCGGAUGGCUGGGCCACUCCUGACGCUGAGGCGCGAAAGCUAGGGGAGCGAA